AACGAAACUUCUUUAUCACCGAGUGCUUGCACUCUUCGAUAAAGAGUUGAGUGGCGAACGGGUGAGUAACACGUGGGCAACCUGCCCAAAAGAGGGGGAUAACACUUUUAAACAGGUGCUAAUACCGCAUAACCAUAGUUACCGCAUGGUAACUAUGUAAAAGGUGGCUAUGCUACCGCUUUUGGAUGGGCCCGCGGCGCAUUAGCUAGUUGGUGGGGUAAAGGCUUACCAAGGCAAUGAUGCGUAGCCGAACUGAGAGGUUGAUCGGCCACAUUGGGACUGAGACACGGCCCAAACUCCUACGGGAGGCAGCAGUAGGGAAUCUUCCACAAUGGGCGAAAGCCUGAUGGAGCAACGCCGCGUGGGUGAAGAAGGUCUUCGGAUCGUAAAACCCUGUUGUUAGAGAAGAAAGUGCGUGAGAGUAACUGUUCACGUUUCGACGGUAUCUAACCAGAAAGCCACGGCUAACUACGUGCCAGCAGCCGCGGUAAUACGUAGGUGGCAAGCGUUAUCCGGAUUUAUUGGGCGUAAAGGGAACGCAGGCGGUCUUUUAAGUCUGAUGUGAAAGCCUUCGGCUUAACCGGAGUAGUGCAUUGGAAACUGGGAGACUUGAGUGCAGAAGAGGAGAGUGGAACUCCAUGUGUAGCGGUGAAAUGCGUAGA
rnacentral:rRNA from 1 species